rnacentral:rRNA from 1 species
AACGAACGCUGGCGGCAUGCCUAACACAUGCAAGUCGAACGAGACCUUCGGGUCUAGUGGCGCACGGGUGCGUAACGCGUGGGAACCUGCCUUUAGGUUCGGAAUAAACUCAGAGAAAUUUGAGCUAAUACCGGAUGAUGUCUUCGGACCAAAAGAUUUAUCGCCUUUAGAUGGGCCCGCGUAAGAUUAGCUAGUUGGUGGGUAAGGCCUACCAAGGCGACGAUCUUUAGCUGGUCUGAGAGGAUGAUCAGCCACACUGGGACUGAGACACGGCCCAGACUCCUACGGGAGGCAGCAGUGGGAAUAUUGGACAAUGGGCGAAAGCCUGAUCCAGCAAUGCCGCGUGAGUGAUGAAGGCCUUAGGGUGUAAGCUCUUUACCCGAGAUGAUAAUG